GGACCUGACUGCUAUCGGAUUGAUACUAAGCCAUGCGAGUCUUUGCAGUAAUGCAAGGCAGACGGCUCAGUAACACGUAGUCAACUUACCCUAUGGACGAGGAUAAUCUCGGGAAACUGAGGAUAAUACUCGAUAGAUCAUAAUGCCUGGAAUGGUUUAUGGUUAAAAUGAUUCAUCGCCAUAGGAUGGGACUGCGGCCUAUCAGCUUGUUGGUGAGGUAAUGGCCCACCAAGACUAUUACAGGUACGGGCUCUGAGAGGAGUAGCCCGGAGAUGGGUGCUGAGACACGGACCCAGGCCCUAUGGGGCGCAGCAGGCGAGAAAACUUUGCAAUGUGCGAAAGCACGACAAGGUUAAUCCGAGUGGUUUCUGCUAAAGAAACCUUUUGUCAGUCCUAGAAACACUGAUGAAUAAGGGGUGGGCAAGUUCUGGUGU
rnacentral:rRNA from 1 species